CACUAGAACAAGACAAUGAAAUAUAAUAUUAUUAACUGAGCAUAGCCAGGUGUGUCAGCCUAAGUUUCACUAGAUUUACUAGUGAAGCAAAUUAAGUUUGCUGGAAGUUUUCUGAACUAGUUUAGUCAUUCAAUCAAAGAGUUUUAAACCCAAGAUACCCUUUUUAGUAAGACAACAGCAGGUGUUAGAUUCUAUACUAUUUGCAUUUAUUCCAUACUUUGAAAUAUUAAUCUGAGGGGAGAAAUGGGGAAAACACUGUUAAAUGAAAAAACCGAAGGGUACUGAUGAACAGUGCAUUUGCCUUUUUUCCACUGCAACACCAAAACUAGUUAACUAGUCUCACCUAGUGGUACCCUUGAUCAGAAACAGUAAGAAACCUGAAUUCUUUGAUAGGGACAACCACUCUGUAGGGCCUAGAACCAGCUCAAGCAGAUCUAGAUUUGUGACCUAUGGUUCAGCUUUUCUGGACAGAGUAGGAUAUUAUUAUUUAGAUUUGUAACAACAAUUCCCAAAGUAAAAGGACAGAGGCACUGAUGUUCAAAACUACAUCCUUCCUAAAGAACUACUACUGCUUUUACUCAAUUAAAAAAAAACAAAACAAAAAACCUCAACACAGAUGCUGAACGAACAGGCGCAGUGAGCCUUCCCUCUACAGGAGGGUGCCUGUUUGUAAAUUGAGCCAUUCCAGUCAGCCCUUGGGAGCCAAAUUCCUGAAUUCACUGCAGAAGCUGAUCUUACUAUAGAACUAUGAGUCAUGUAUUUUAGCAAUUUAUGAACAGCACACUAUGAAUUUAACUCAUAAAUCAGCUUUUACCAAAUUAAGAAACACGGGUCCACAAAUGCAUGAUGCUACAUAAUACUCAUCUACCUAUCAUAGCUUCACUUGUCCCUGAAAAUACUUUAAGCUAUUUUUCUCAUAAGCAAAGUUGCAUAACGAGGAAAGAGCACACUGCUAGGCCAGGAAGCUGUAUCCAGAACAAUCUGCAUUGCAAAAAUGUGUUUGGUAUUAAAAGCCAGCCUUCAAACUGAAACAUCAGAAUGUCAGAACAGUGUUGAAGAGGGUUUUUAAGUGCCUGUUCUAUAGGAAUGAGGGUAUUCAUAUUUAUGCUUGAAAUGCAACAAGAGAGGAUAGAACAAUAAAUUUCAGGCUUUGCGGAGGUGAAUGAGAAUGCCUCUUAACCCAGGAAUGUAUGAAUCCAUGAAGGUGUUUGGGAAAUAAUUUUAAAGAAGCAGGGACAGGGAGAGGGGGAAGAGAAGAGCAGUUUUGAGAGACCUUCAGAAAUAUCAUUUGGGGUCUAGAUAUCUUUGCCUGAAGCUCUAUUGACAAAAGCAUCACAUCUUUAGAAAAUCCUGUCCAAAAGUCUUUUAAUCCACCCACACACAUGCAGAUGGGACUCUGCCCUCAUCCUACAGUUCUCAGUACUUGUACUUUGACGUACAAUCCCUGGAGCAAUUAAAAUGGUCACAUAGUACUAUGGCAGACACUUCACUCAAGGCUUAUAUUCGGAGAGGUUGUCAGAAGCUUAUGGUGUUCUAAAUGGGAUAUCCAUGGAUAGCCAUUUGUCAAACCCAUUAAAGAAGAUUAAUGGAGUAGAGUCUCAUCCUGGAAUGUACUGAAGUGUGCAACUUUUCUCCCCCAAAAGUCUGCAAACUACAUACUGAUAACGUAACCAGUGUGCAGGCAACUUCCAGAGUUUCUGCUAGUGGCCUGUUCUUAUGGACAAAUCCUGUCUGUUCUACUGUCUUAGAGAAGCUGUCUGUCAGGUAAGCAUAAUCUUUAUACACCAUUACUUGGACAUGCAUUCUCUAAGCACCUCUACUCAUGCAUAGGCAGAUAGAAGGAUUUCAUCAUUGCACUUGCAGGUGGUAGUUGUGUGCAAUGACUCUGUGUGUUAAUAGGUUUUACACAAAGAAACAUGAUUAAGUUAGUGGCCUGCUAAUACAGAGCUGCUUUAAGUUUAGAUUCUUAUUAUCCCACUUCACUUUAGCACUAGAGAUUCAGAAACAAACACCUGUGAAGCAAACAACUAAGGAGCCAAUGGUAAUAUAGCUAGAAUAUUCAUUUAAGUCUGUUCACAUUUUCAUUCAGGCUAACACCAGGGAGGAGUAUACCUGAAAUUUAAGUGCAGAACUUGCAGGUAAAGUAUGUGUUUGUUUAUUUUUCAGCAUGGACGUUUGUGGCCAUUGACUUGGGUUCCAUUUAAUUCCUGUAUAAAAUUAAUGCUUAAAAAGAGCCUUUCUUUUGCCAAACAUCAAUACCUUCCAUAUGGUGUUAGCACUACAUAAAUGCUUAAAAGGUCCUAAAUCCACUUUUCCUCUAACAUAUUAAAUAUAUGAAUCUUUUCAGGUCUAUAGGUCAAGGCAAUAUGGUACUAAUGCAGCCUACUUUUGGGAUGACAGCACUGACAGUGGUGUUUUCCCAAGCUUGACUCCAUAAAAAUGUAUUAGAGUUCUCUUAGAAAGGCCAACAUACAGUAUUUUUAAAAGUGGCUGUAGUGAUCAUGUCACAAAAAUGAUUUAUCAUCUUAAAAAAAAAUCACAAAACUAAUAUAAAUGCUGAAUACUGAAAAUAAUCUUUAUGUCUCACAAUCUGACUGACUUUGGUGUCAGUAAAAGCUGUCUACACCUUGCAUUUAGUAUUUCUUUCUCCUUGGAUCUUUGUAAGAAUGUCUUUGUCAAAACUGCUUGGAUAGAGUGAAAAACAACCUUUUUUAGAUUAUGACUCAUUUGGCUAUUACUUGCACAGGAAACCAAAUGCAUGUGUGCAUCAACAGCAUAAUUUGUACAUCAAAGCCUGUAGGAUUAUAGCUAUCAAGAUAUUGAGUUGUUUGGAUGCAUAUAACUUUCUGACCAACUCAUUUCCAAAAUAAAAUGAGACUACAGUAUUGUAUAGUAGCAGCAAAAUUAGCAGCACUGAAAUAGAGCUGCAGCCAGAUGGCAAUGGGAUUUUGGUAUGAAUAUGUGGAUAAAGGACAGGGCCCCUAAAAAAGAUCAGCAGCAGCAAUUGUUGCUUUAAAAUAAGAAUCAGUAACUUUAGAUGCAUUAUUUAGACAGUUAAAAAGUAACCUCCCCCUGCCCCUCAAAAAAAUAAAAUCCUUCCAGGCUGAGAUUUUCCAGUCUUAAUCUAUCCAAGAGGGAUUUCAGUUUGAGGGUGAAAAAAGAAAGAGAAAGAAAGAUUAAUGUGUGGAAAGAUUAAAACAACACCUUUUCCAGUAGAAACUUUUGUAAUAUUGUUUAAACUACCUAGUAGCCAAAAUAGUUGAGGACUGGAAGUUGUCAUUUGCUUGAAGAGUCCUCAGAAGUGUUUACUGCCUUGGCCCAAAGGAAACUAGUUUUAACUGUCUAAAAAUUACUAACUGGGCACUUAGUAGGGCUGGAGUGCUGUUGUUACAGCGAUGGUCCAAACAAAUGAGAGAAGCCAGUUUUUUGGCAUGAUCUUUUGUUGGAUCAACUGUACAGUUGGGAGAGACCUACCUUAGCUGUUCAGUCAACUGACCAUUUACCCCAGGGGCUUCAGACCGGCUGCAACAAUUUCCUGAAAGGUUGGGCAAUGUGUGGCUCAGACAAGUGACCAAGGAGGGGACAGGCAGCACAGCUGCAGAUAGGGCAGGAAGCAGACGACUGAACAGGGAGAUCAGGUAAGGAGCACAGGUUAGGAAGCAGAGCAGAUCAAGCACAUGGGUGCAGGGCUAAUUUGUGGCAUGCCUACCAAAAAGGUUGGCCCCAGUGUGCUGGAUAACCCCAAAUUCGCUGCUGCUUUCUUCACUUUGAGGUAAGGCAGUGUGCAAAACAUUAACCUAAGAUGAUGCGAAUUGUUGGAUGCAAAUUGUUUUCUCAUCUUCCUUGCAAUGUAACCUUCACAGAUGUCCUCCAUUUCAGCACUGCAGACCUUAUCUACACUGUGCUUUUUGUUUUUAGGUUAGGCAGUAUCACUUACCAAGUACUGAUGAGGAGUUUGUGGCCAGCUAACAGGUUAACACCAUUAAACCAUUUCUAUACCAUGUACUAACUAAAUGUUUUUUAGAAGCAUUAGUUGUUGUGUCUAUACAACAGUUAUAUUACAGCCUAGGAUCCCCUAGGGUGAUACAUUUUCACUGUUGUAAAGGUGUCCUAUCUAGCUAUAGCAGUAGAAGUCACCCUUAUACUACUACAUAAAUCUACAUUGGAGCAGGCCUUUUAUCCCAGCUGGGUGCAUCUACACAAGACGCUUUACUGUGCAUUAGACUAAUCUAAUGCGCAGUAAAGUGUCACCAUCUACAUGUGUGCAGCAAAUUAAAUUUAAAGCCCCAUUUGCUACUACUCACAGAUAAAGGUACUAGAAAAUGGUACUUUAAACUAUGGUGCUGAAGCACACGUGUAGAUGCCAACCAGAACCAAAUUGGUCCUGGUCAGCCCAGGCAGCAGGGGACCACAAUGGACCCAUGUCUCUCUCCAGUCCCAAUGCUGCUUGGCUCCUGCCUAGUUUCAGGGGGAGGUGGGAGCAGAACAGCUGGCUUGGAGCAAUGCCUCGUGCUUAAGCAACAACACCCUGAUCUCUCCCCUUGCUUUGCUUGCAGGUGGCAGAGGAGUCCAGGAUGAACUUGCUGGAUCAAUUAGUCAUCAAAAAAAGAAAGGAAAAGUUGCAUAAAUACUUUGAAAUCAGGAAACAUAGUACCAGGUUCCACAGGAUGCUCUGUUUAAGGUAAGCAGUUUUUCCUUUACAUUGCCAUUCUGGGAGAGCAUUAUAUAACUAAGACUACAGGAAUCGGCACAAGGAACACAUAUUCCACCUUAGUUUAGGCACUUGAGCUUCGAGUGCUCAGCAACGCCUUCCACUUUUCUCUUGGCACAAUCAACAUUAAUUUUUUAAAAUUACAUCAAAUGGCUUUUAUAACUAUCCAUUAUUUCCAAAAGGUCCAUUUUUAUUGUAAAAUGCUUUUAUUCAUCCUAGAAUUAGGACUGCAAUGUGAAAUUAACUCUAUUUCCAAGUUGAUACUCCCUUGAAGUUAGUUAGUUAAUUUUUUUUUAAAUAAGUGUUUCAUAGAAAUGGGAACUAAAUAUGCAAUCUAUUAAAUAUACAAGAUUAAACAGAAAGAGAAAAAAUCUUGCCCCCUGUAGCCACUUUCAGUGACAGUGAUUGUAGGUAAAAACAGUUGAUACCCUGUAAUCUGUUGUUUAAUUAUAGGUAUUAUUUUGUUACUAUAUCAAAAAGUAGAGAUGCACUGAUAUAUUGGUCCAUAUUGGAUUGGCACUAAUAAAAGGAAAAUUGACAUCAGCAAUCAGCAUUUUUUGGCAAUAAUGUCACCGAUAAAUACCACAUGCAUGCACGCAGUCGUGGCAUGCAGGCAGCCAGGAAUGCAGCCCCAUAUCUUGCAGAGCAGCAUCUGGCUGCUGAGUCUGUGGGGGAGGGAAGGGGGCAGAUAGAGGUCCCCACAGUGAGGGAGGGAGUGGGGCAGGUGCUGCUCAGCCAGGGCAGUGAAUGCGAUCCUGGAAGUGGGACGGAGCUGUGGGUGGUGGGGAAGAGGGGUGCACAUGUCUCUCGGAUUUAUGCACAGGAUGAGGGUGGGCUGCCUAUUGCAAGGCUUGGGGCCAGGGGCUGUGCUGACCUAUUCCCAGAGGUGGGGCUGGGCUCUGAGCAAACGGGGGCAGGGUGGGUUGGGGCAGUGCUGAGAGUGAUGGCUAUGGCAAAUUUUUUUGGUGGCCAUAGCAUACCCCAUAGCCACCCUUCCCAACACUGCUGCUGCCUAUCCCACCCCUGCCUGCUCUAAGUCCAGCCCUGGCCCAGUCCCCACCAGGAAGAGGCUGGCACAGCCCCUGGCCCUGAGCCUGCAACCAGCCCUUGCCCUGUGCACAUAUCCGGAGGGCACACGCUUCCCUCCCCCAGGGGUGUGCGCAGCAGCAGGGAGUCACCCCUCCCUCCCCCACCCUCCCAGACAAUCCACCUGUGGCUCUACCUUGCUCCCGGAGUCACAUUCACCACCCUGGCUGGGCAGCACCUGCCCCAGUCCCACUCCCUCCCUGACUGUGGGGGCCUUGAUUUGCCCCCUAACAUCUCUUUCCCCCCCCACACAGACUUGCCAGCCAGAUGCUGCUCUCCAAGCUGCUGCGCUGCAUAUUGGCUAUUGGAUUGAUAUCAGCCGAUAUGGCUGGUUAAUAAUUGGCCAUCGGUAUCAGCCAAAGAAGUCUUUAUUGGUGCACCCCUACAAAAAAGCACCAAGGAAAAGCUAAUAUGAAUGCCGAUGUUUAAAUCAUUUGUCUAAUUUGUGUUACCAUUUAUUGGAAAACUUUAAAUUGUUUACCAAAAAAGCACAAAACAAAUGUUUAACUAGAUCAAGUUACUGAAUUAGUUCUACAAAUUGUGUUUUGGGAGAAGUCUCUCCUCACAAAUUAAAUAAUGAAGAGGUAAUCCUAGGUUGCAUCAUUUUAAUAGCUACAGACUAAUCUGAAACAAGAUUAUACACCAGUACUCAGAAAAGCCUAAUCUGAUUACUGUUCCUUAGCAACAAUUGUGUUUCUACUCUUGAAGAAAUAUAAAAUGGACAGCAGUCCAUCUCUGACUGGGUACCAGCCUGAGAACAAGUCAUCCUUCGAAGUCUCAGGUGUGCUGGCUUUUCAGCUUUGUGGGUACAAUGUUUUGCACCUGAAAUUUCCUCCUUAAUUCCAUUUGUCUCCACAGCUGCUACAAUGUACUUUUCUAGUGGGAUCCAGAGGAACUGAACCCUAAAUCAUGUCAACUCAGAAGUUUUACUAUUAAAGGAAUAGCAGGCCUCACAUGGGUACAUUUUAUACUGGGAUAAUCACAUGUACAACUAGUUUAACUGCUCUUGUACCUAGGGGCUUUAUCCAUAAAAAAUAUGGUUUGGGACGGGGGUAGGGGGAACAGGGAUAUCACAUGCCUAAACAGCAGCAAUAUUGGGUUGAAAAAAAAUUUAAGUUUUGUGUUUUCAGCUUAGAGGUAAUAGGGUGCUCCUCCAGAAGAUGCCCAUGAAAUUCUUACCCACUCUUGGGCCUGUAAACACCUCCCAACACAGUGCACCAGCACUCCACCACUGCAUGCUUAUAUAUACAAAACUUGGAGCAUUAGUGACCUCUGCUUUCCACUUCCACAUCUGGAGGCAGCUCAGCCAAGGACUAACUUGGGUUUCAUUACAAUACAAAAUCUUAGGACUAAUACAGCCCAAAAGUUCACUUUUAAAAAGAUCCAACAGAAAAACUUGUAAUCUAAUAACCUAUUCAAUAUUGCAUUUCAAAUUAUGGGUCACCUUGUUUGUGACAAAUUUAAAUCAGCCUUUUCGUUUAAAAAACAAACAAACAAACAACCCCCCCCCCCAUACAUUCCCUACGCUAUUCAUACUUAAAUUUUAGUUGACAAAUGCCAAAUACUGCUGGGAACCUUUAUUUGAAAUACAGGCAGUCCUUGAUUUACGACGAACGGCACUUACAACCUUUAUAAACGAACACCAGGUUUUGAGGUUCUGAUGCAGGUUUCAACUUUAUGAUGCUCACUACAGCUGCAUCCAGCUGGUAAGUCUGGAAGGGGCGUGGGGCCACAGAUCAAUGCCCUCGCAGUGAAGGAGGGAUUGGGGCUAGAACAAGGGCUGGGGCAAGUGCUGCCUAGCCAGGGCGGGGCAGGGGCGGGCACCUCCCUCCACUGCAUGCCACUGCUCCGGGAGCUGCUGCAGACAACUUUCAAAAGCAGCUUAUCUGGGAACAACAGAAAAAAACUUAUUUGUUCUUCCUGUGGUGGACUGCACAGACCUUGGCUCUUCUAGGAAAAAAAUAAAAAUAAAAGGCAUAAUAAAAUCCUAGUGUAGACAGGGUAGUUUGUACUACUGUGACUGUAUCAAGGCUGUUUUCCCCCUGCCUUGUUCCUACUGUACUUGGGCAGAACUGGUCUACAGCCAGAUGGACUUUAUUUAUUCUGAAGAAGAUAACUGUGUUACUACCUGCAUAUAAGUAAUUAAGCUUUAAUCACUCUUAAAAGUGAUUUAUAAAAGUGAUAUAAAAGUAAUCUUAAAUAGUCCUAGAGUGGAUGCAGUUGUCCAGGUAUCACUCUCUAACCAGGAGUAAUGACCACAGACUUCUGGAAGACUGUUUCAGGCUCAACAUUAGGAAAAACUUCACAGUCAGGGUGUCCAGACUGGAAUAAGCUCCCUCCAGAGGUGGUGCAAUCACCUACCCUGGAAAUCUUCAAGACGAGACUAGACAGUCAGCUCACUGGAGUCAGUUGUCUUCCUGCCUAGAGUGGGGGGGCGGGACCCAAUGAUCUUCUGAGGUCCCUUCCAGCCCCUUACAAUCUAUGGAAGGCACAAACUAUAUAGGUAUGACCAACACCCUCAAAACUACACAGGAAUGUCAUUUUUAUACCAUGUAUACUACCACACUCAGAGCUGCACUAGUCAGAUAGGCUGCUUACAGACAUAGAACACCCCCCCCACAAAAAAACCAACAACAGUGCUUUACUUGAAGCUCAGCAUGCCUCUGCACUGAGCUCAGUGCAUGCCCAGAAGAGGCAUCAUGUUAGCUGGACCCAGCUUACCCAACAUCUGUAUAGCUGAUUCAAUCUGAGUUAUUAGAUAAAAGUGCCGAAAAGCCCCGCUGAAGCACUUGAUGUAUACAAAUGCUGCAGAGCCAGGCUGAACUAACACCCUGCUUCUUCCAUUAAAGUGUUUUUGUUUUUUGUUUGCUUG